GAACGCCGCGGCCGGCGCUGCUCCAUCCGGCCCCUCGCGGCCCGCGGGCCGGGCGGCAGCGGAGGCCAGUGAGAUCCGCGCUGUCCGCGCGAGGGUCUCGGUCCGGGACUCGGCCGGCACAGCUGUCAGAAGAAAAUGGAAUUUGAAUGGUGCGGCCGCCACUGUUCUCGGUGUAAAGAGUGGGUCGGUCGGUUUAAAAACCUGGGGACUCCGAGCACCGUUAUUCGAAGUAAGUGGGGAAAGGAGUUAAAUUUCAUAAUGUCAUGGUGAAACACACAUCCUGAAGCUGGAAGGGGCCUCAAGAGACGACGGUCAAAUCCUCUCUGGCAGGAAGAUUUUACAGGAGAGGUGGAUGAGAACCAGAAAGAUUGAGUGAUGUGCCUAAGCCCUUAACAUAGUACCUAGUACAGAGUGGAUACGAAGUGGGCAUUUAUUGAAUGAAUGCUUUUCCCAGCAGCAUUAGAUGGUGAACAAUAUUCAUGUAUAUCAUCGUCCUGAUUUUGCGGAUGAACUCAGUGAAAACAAAACAAGUUGAAGAGGCUGAUAUCUUAAACAGAGGGAGGAUGACUUCUCCAAAGUCACAUGGAAGAGGAAAGAGAAAGACUGACCCUGUGGUGGAUUGGUCGUACGGGAACACAGGAACAUGGGCCGGCCGAGUGGCGCGAUGGUUAAGAACUGGCUUGGGAC